ncrna:Clostridium phage c-st HNH endonuclease-associated RNA and ORF (HEARO) RNA
GUCAACUGCCAACUACCCUAAAGGGUAGUGGCUUGUAAGAAAUUGCAAGUCGGUUGAAUAGCCUAAGUCUUAAAUGACUACGAUUAUUAAGAAUAUAUAGGUACUUCAAGAUACUUCUCUAGUCUUGAACACUACGCUUUAACAUUAAACAUUUCUGAUGGUAGGAAAAGUGUGUUAAAGAUACAAAACCUUUUUAAUCAUUGGCGAAGAGAACUUAC